rnacentral:rRNA from 1 species
CCUACGGGUGGCUGCAGUGGGGAAUAUUGGACAAUGGGCGAAAGCCUGACCCAGCCAUGCCGCGUGUGUGAAGAAGGCCUUCGGGUUGUAAAGCACUUUCAGUGGGGAAGAAAGCCUUGGGGCUAAUACCCUCGAGGAAGGACAUCACCCACAGAAGAAGCACCGGCUAACUCCGUGCCAGCAGCCGCGGUAAUACGGAGGGUGCGAGCGUUAAUCGGAAUUACUGGGCGUAAAGCGCGCGUAGGCGGUCUGAUAAGCCGGUUGUGAAAGCCCCGGGCUCAACCUGGGAACGGCAUCCGGAACUGUCAGGCUAGAGUGCAGGAGAGGAAGGUAGAAUUCCCGGUGUAGCGGUGAAAUGCGUAGAGAUCGGGAGGAAUACCAGUGGCGAAGGCGGCCUUCUGGACUGACACUGACGCUGAGGUGCGAAAGCGUGGGUAGCAAACAGGAUUAGAUACCCUAGUAGUC